rnacentral:rRNA from 1 species
CCUACGGGUGGCAGCAGUGAGGAAUAUUGGUCAAUGGCCGAGAGUCUGAACCAGCCAAGUCGCGUGAGGGAAGACGGCCCUACGGGUUGUAAACCUCUUUUGUCGGAGAACAAAACCCGGCACGUGUCCCGUACUGCGUGUAUCCGAAGAAAAAGCAUCGGCUAACUCCGUGCCAGCAGCCGCGGUAAUACGGAGGAUGCGAGCGUUAUCCGGAUUUAUUGGGUUUAAGGGGUGCGUAGGCGGUCCGUUAAGUCAGCGGUAAAAUUGCGGGGCUCAACCCCGGAGAGCCGUUGAAACUGGCAGACUUGAGUUGGCGAGAAGUACGCGGAAUGCGCGGUGUAGCGGUGAAAUGCAUAGAUAUCGCGCAGAACUCCGAUUGCGAAGGCAGCGUACCGGAGCCAGACUGACGCUGAGGCACGAAAGCGUGGGGAUCGAACAGGAUUAGAUACCCUAGUAGUC